rnacentral:rRNA from 1 species
UACAGAGGUCUCAAGCGUUGUUCGGAUUCAUUGGGCGUAAAGGGCGCGUAGGCGGCGGGGUAAGUCGGGUGUGAAAUCUCAGAGCUCAACUCUGAAAUGGCACUUGAUACUGCUCUGCUAGAGGACUGGAGAGGAGAUUGGAAUUCACGGUGUAGCAGUGAAAUGCGUAGAUAUCGUAAGGAAGACCAGUGGCGAAGGCGGGUCUCUGGACAGUUCCUGGCGCUGAGGCACGAAGGCCAGGGGAGCAAACGGG